rnacentral:rRNA from 1 species
UAAGACGAGGGAUCCUAGCGUUGUUCGGAAUCAUUGGGCGUAAAGCGGGUGUAGGUGGCUUGGUAAGUCAGGUGUGAAAGCCCAGGGCUCAACCCUGGAAGUGCAUUUGAAACUGCCGAGCUUGAGUGUGGGAGAGGAUAGUGGAAUUCCUGGUGUAGUGGUGAAAUACGUAGAUAUCAGGAGGAACACCGGUGGCGAAGGCGGCUAUCUGGCCCAACACUGACACUCAGACCCGAAAGCGUGGGGAUCAAACAGG